rnacentral:misc_RNA from 1 species
GGAAGUAGAAGUCGUAACAAGGUUUCCGUAGGUGAACCUGCGGAAGGAUCAUUAUCGUACAAAAUGUGAGGGGCAUGCGAGGGCUGUCGCUGACCCAAAAGACGUGCACGCCCGAGUGUGUCCUCUUGCAUAAUAAUCCAUCUCACCCUUUGUGCAUCACCGCGUGGGCACCCUUCGGGAUCAUCUCGGAGGGGGGCUCGCGUUUCCACACAAACCCCCCUUUUAAAAGUGUAGAAUGACCACAUUUAUGCAAUCAAUACAACUUUCAACAACGGAUCUCUUGGCUCUC